AGUGACCAAUUAACGUUUUUUAAACUUAGAAUUUUCUUUUUCAAAACACGCUCUGCACCAAAAAGAAAACAAAGAUGGCGCGAGACCAGAGCAAGAUACGAGCGAGAGAUCUGAGCGAGCGCGCGAUCAGAGUGACAGAUUAGAGCGAGCUACAUUUUGUGUCCUUAAAUCAGCUAGGUCUUCGUUUGGUGCUCAGGCAGAGCUUGAUUUUAGAAGUUUUGAUUUUGAGAAACGACCUUGAGGCUAGUGAGAUAAUCAACUUUUGAGACCAUCAACUUCUCUGAGAUGGAUAAGAGUUGGAUUCAUAUGCACACUAGGGGAAAAACACAGUCUAUUCAUGGGGUGAAAGAGUACAUUAAUUUUGCAAUUGGGCACAUGAAACAGUGGGAGAGGAUGAUUGGAACUAUCUAGUUCAAUUAUGGCAAAAAGAUGAGUGGAAGAAAAGUAGUGCAGAAAAUAAGGAAAAUAGAAAGAAAUUGAAGAUCACACAUUGUGCUGGGACAAAGGUCUUUAGUCGUAUUAAAUAUGAAAAUGUAAGCUUCAUUUGACCCUUACAAUCUUCUUACAUUGAAAUUUUUUGAAGUUAUAAUUUAUGAAACUAGUAAAUAACAUGAUGGUGGUCUUUGACUACAUGAAAUAGAGAAAUUCUGAAACUGGAGAAGAACCUAGCCUCAUUGACUUGUUUCAGCUCACUUGAUUUAGCACAAAGAACCUAGCCGCAUUUGAUUGUGUAGGAUGAGAUGAAGAAGCUGAAGAACCUGCGGCAAACAGAUGAGGAAUCUGUUGAAUUGAUGUCUGAUGAUGAAAUAUAUGACUCAGUUCUUUCUAAAGUUGUUGGUCCACCUAGGUCGAGUUAUAUACGUGGCUUAGGAGCAGGUCCGAAAACCAAAACAUUUAAAGCCGGACAAUGCAGUCAUGCUACAAUUGAGGAGGCUAAAAGGAGGGCAGAUGAGGCAACUAAAAGGGCUGAUGAUGCAGAGAAACCAUGUAUGCUUCUAGCAAAUGAGUUAUUUGAAAUGAAGGAGAAUUCCGAAGCACAAAAGUAUCAGUUAGAAGGUUUAUUGGCAAGGCAAAAUGAGACAGAUGCACUAGUAAAAAGAUUGCUGGAGCAGUUAUCCUCAACUUCAUCAUCAAUGAGGUCUGAUGGAUAAAGAGCAGAAGACAAUCUACUAGUGAUGAAUCUUAUGUUAUUUGUUUUUGGGAAUCACUUGACCUUUAGGUUGAACUUAAAUAUGUAGCAUUUUGUUUUUGAGACAUCUUGUGAAUUUGUUGAAAGAAUGUUAGAUAUAUGGAUUGCUUUUGAAUGCAAUGAAUUA